AAUAUUAUUAUUUCGCGUUUUAUCUAUACUGUGCGGCGUGACUUUCCGGAGUGUGACGAAGCGAUUGAUAACAAGAGAGCUUCGGCGGACCAUUAUUAUUAUGGUUUGGCGCGCAUGCGGUGACGACACGGGUUAACGCGCGAAAUGAUCGAAGUGCAAAUGAUCGACAGGCUGGCCCGAGACGAUAAAAAAGACGGGUAAACGAUAAUAUUCUUCUACUAUUUUUAUUUGGUUUUUUUUUUCGCUCUUUCGACUUCGGUGGGUAUUGUAACUCUAUGCAGCCCUUCCUCUUCUAUUCUCCGUUCUUUUACAUUUUAUAUUUUUCUUCUUAUGUCUCAUUAUAUAUUAUAAUAUUUUAAGCCUAGCUCUUUAAAGAUUUGCGAGACAAAGUUCGCCCUCGGUCGCCCUCUUCUUUUUUUUUCCACAGGUAUGACUCCUUCAAGAGGAAUCUCUUCUUUACUGUCUAUACAGGGCUAUUAUGCCUGAGAAUAUACGGCCUAACCUAAUUAUUGCAAUUUCCUAGUUUUUAUAUCAUCUCUAUCAUUGUCAUUUGUUUAUUGAUUUAUUGUUGUAAUUCAUUCAAUGUUUUAUUGCUGCAUGUGUCAAUAAUCUUUUUAUUGAUUUUCUUUUUCUUUUUCUCGUACAUCCAUGUUUCUUCUGAAUGUACGUAAUGCUAUAGGACAUAGAUAAUAUUAGUGUCGUACGGAUCAUCCAUCAUUUUAGGUAUUUGACCAUGAACUAUCAGAUUUUGAGUAAAUUUCAUUUCGGUUUUUUUCAGAUAUCAGGCACGAAAUCGUUUACAAUAUAUUUUUAAAAUGUUAACUUUAAUCUAUACCCAUACUACUACUACUACUACUAUUGCUAUUACUACAUAGGUUGCUAUUUGAAAAUCUAAAGUUGAUAUUGUUGGCUGAGCAAUGUUUAAUACUUAAAAUCCACCUCUUAUCUCUUUUUUGAAUAAAAAAUGUGUAUUAAAACUCGCGCUCCGCUAUGGUUUUACAACCUUACACGUCCUAUCACAUAUAAUCCACAAUCAACAUAAAAUACUAUUUACGAUAAAAAAAAAACCGUUCUGUAUAUAAAUGUCGUUAGAAAUUAAAUAGUUUUUCAAAUCGAUUUUUUUUUUUUAGAAUAUUUUUUUGUUUUAUGUUUACGCUUUGACACUUAUUUUUGUUUGAUACUUUGAUUUAUGUUAAAACAAAAUAUAUAGGUAAUAUUAUAAUGUAUUUGAUUUUAAUCUAGUUUACGUUCCAGUCAUGUAUUUAUAAUUGUGUUUUUCGUCUUAGACGGUAAACAAUAUUAAGAAAAAAAAAAAAAAUAUUUAUAUAUUAUUUGCAAAAUACAUACAAAUAAUAUAUACAUACGUUUUUAAUAUAUAAUAUAUAUUGUUUAUAUUGUAUAGAUAUACAAAAAAAAAUGAAUUUUGAAAUUCGUUUUUAUUCAGAUUUUUAUCUAUCUACACUUAAAUCAUAUACCAAAAUUAAGAUCAUCUGUUUUCUAAUCGUUUGAUUUCUGUCGAGUUUCUAAUUUAUUUUAUAAUUAUUAUGACCUUAUAUACCUAGGUGUAACAUCGAAGGUCACACGACUAUAUAUACUUACAUUUUCGAAUGUCAUUUAAAGUGUAGGUACCUAAUCGUAUUCUUAAAAUUGUUAAAAGACAGCUCAUUUGACAGAAAAUGUGCAUUACAAUAACAAUUGGUGUUAUAAGUAUAUACACCAAUAUUAUUGCGUAAGUUUUUCUUUUACAUUUUACUCGACCAAACUUUAUGCGUGUCGUGCAACUUUUACAUUAUAAAUACAUUUAAUUUUAAGUUUAAUUUAAAAUAAUUGGUGGUUUAACAUUUUACAUUUAAAAAACAUAUAUUUGUUUUAUUAAAAUUAUCUAUGCUCAAAUGUUGUAAUUAUUACCUAUACUCAACAAAUAGCUUAUAUAAGUUUUUAUAACGGUUUUAGUACGUGUUAAAAAAUAUGUAUAGUGUGAACUUGAAAUAAUUCACACAAUUGUGUAGCCGUGUCUUAUAAUAUAGUACACAUAUUAUAAUACUAUAUAGUACAUAGUACUACAUAGAAUGUUUUAUAAAACAAUUUUUUUUUAAAGUAGGUUAACUAAAAAAUAUAAUUGAAUAUGUAUCAUAUAUAAUAUAUACAGGUAGGUAGUUUAGAAUGGUAAAAUAAUAUGAUCACAACUACUGAAUCAUAUUCAUAUAUAAAGUAUAUUAAUAACUUUGAGGAAAAAUGCGAUAAGAUCUGUAAGUUUAAUUAAUUUUUAUUAAAAAUAAUAAUUUUAGCGAUGUUCUUAAAUAUAAUAUCGGAUUUCUGUCAUCUAAAAACCUAUUUGUCGUCCGAAUAUCAUAGAAUAUCUCGUAUUAUAACGAUUUAUUUUAAACUAUUUUCGGUGUUGUACAAACAUUAAGCUCAUUAGUAUGCAAAUAAUGAGUAAACAUCAUGCCCUGCGUAAUAGUCACUUCGUUUGAUUAAAAUAACAAAGGCAAAUACGCAUAGAAUUUUUUUACCGAAUCUUCGGUAGGUGGUGGAUCUAGAAGAUAAAUUAUGUAUUUAAUUCGUCUUCAUUACGACGAAAACGGGCGUAAACAAAUUGACGGAUAAUCAAACAUAUCUAAUACUGAAAUUAAUAAAUAAAGAAAAUAAAAUAAACGGACCCUUCUCAUACACAUGUAUUCCUUAAUAAUAUAUUUAAUUGGAUAGUCUAAUUGUUAAUAUAAAAACAAAAAAAAAAAAUUGUUAACGUUUAUGCGAAAUAAUAUAUUAUAGAUUUUUCGGUAACGACGACGGCCGACACCACAUGCUAAUAAAAUAACCCACGUCAAGAUAUUCGGAUAGACAAAGUAUCGUAUUACAUAAAUCGUGUUUCGGACCAAUUUAUACAAUUGUGUUUUUUUUUUUCUGGGCCAGGUGCAGCACAUUAAAAAUCAAAAUAAUACGGUUUAUCCCCUGUUAUAGCCAUCGCGAUUUCUAUUUAAUUAUUUGUAUAUGAUUACACUUUCUUAUAGGUAAAAAAUUCGUAGCUUCUAACAAUAAGUACGUUAUAUUUUUAUUUCAAUAGAAUAUUAUGAAAUAAAUCAAUAUUAGAGAAAAUUACACACAAACUAUAGAAAAAAAUAAAAAUGAAAUCGAUAUAAAUUAAGAAUAAUAGGAACAAAAACGUGUGAAACGAAUUGAGGUCGUUUCUACGAUUUAUCAAAUUAUUGGCAUAUUUGUAUAUUAUUAGUAUAUGUUAUCUUUUUGGCUUCACGUGGACGUGUGCCUAGGGAUAAAAUGUUGUAAAUUGGAUUUUAGUUUUCAAAUAUAAUAUUAAAUUAAACAUUUAAUAUUCAUCCACUUUUAUUUUGUUAAAUAUAAGUACCAAUAAAUUAGAUAUUACUUAUCGAACUCCAAGUUUUUUCUUUAAAAUAUAUAUAUAAAUACAUAUAAAUAUAAAUUAUAAGAAAAAAAAAACCUAAAUUAAUAUUUUUAUCAUACUUAGACUCGUAAAUCUAUCUUAUUGCCACAUGUAAGUAUAAACAACAACGACUUAAUCAUCGGUUCUAUAGUACGAUUCAUUUAUCAAGAUCCAGCGAUUUCCUCGGACGAUUUAAAGUGAAUUUGUUUUUGUGAUAUUUUUCAAUUUUAAUGGAAUCGUUUAAAUUUUGUUUGAAUGCUACUUUUACCCAUAAUCCACUUCUUCAUAUAUUAAAUAAGCAUACACUUUGGAUUUUCAAAAAACAAUUCGCUUUUAAAUGCUGAAUGUUUUUCUAAACAUUUUGCAUAUAGACACUUAACACAAUAUAAAGAGUAGAUUUACCGUUUAUUACUGUUACGACAGUCAGGCAUUCAGUCCGGAGUAGUAGGGAAAUGUAUCACCUGAAAAUGAAUACGAAGUUUAUAAUCCUUAUCCCUGUUCUUCCGGUAUAUAUUUUAAACGGUUUUAUACAUCCUAAACAUUUGUAACGGUAAAUCCUAUAUUAUUAGUGCAUAUCAAAAUGUGUAAAAUAAUGUUUUCUAUUCGAAUCUGCGUUUAAAAAAUAAAGGUUUUAAUGACUAGAAAAAAAAAUAGAGUGCAUUUAAAAUUCUCCGAGAAAAUCACUGGAUCUAUAUACUAAAUGGAUCGUGGUGUAUGCAAUACGCUCGUGGUUUUUUUUAACUAACCGAAUCUGAUCCGAUUAUUAAAUCCUGCAUGAGGAGGACCCUCCGGACGAUGACUGUACGACGACGACGAUGGCGUUUUAUUAUACAUGCAUAAUACACUAACAAUGUGCGGUUCCGACGUUGAUGAGCCACCAAAUGCUCGUAUAUUACAAUAAUAAUAUAUAAGUAAAACACGUACUCGAUCCGCGGAAACUAUAGGGGGAAUAUUCGCCCGGGGCCGGCUCGCGCGUAUUAUGGUUUUCACUUGACAGUAGCUAAUAAAUAUCGCGAUCUAACGGCCGAAGAGGGGAAAAUUCUGAGAGAAUAAGUAAUAAUAAAAAAUAAAUAAAUCUCGGCUACUGCCUUGCGUGGUGGUGCACGUAUACUAUAUAGGUAUCCGCGCUGUACCUAUAAAACAGCGGGCGCGCGCGCGUGUUCCCUCGGUAGUCGGCCGUCAACGUUUGUUUUACGAUCGCAAAUCGUUUGGCGAUGGCUAAUUUAGUUCGGCCAACGCUCUUUAAAUAUUAUAGGAAACAAAACCACGUGUGGGUUAUAACUAAAACCCGAACAAUAAAACUACAAUAUAUAUCUACCUCUAUAUAUACAACAUACAUAAUAGAUGAUAAUAUUAUAAACUAUAUUAUAUAGGUACCUACUAUAGAUCGGAAUAUUAUUAUUACAACGUUACACGUUUUAUGUCUUUGAGAGAUACCGUUUCGGAGUUAGCGAAUCCGUGUAAUUUUGUUAUUAUUAUUAUUCGUAUUUUUUUGUUUUUUUAUCAUGUCCGAUAUCUUUUUAGAUUCUGAGGAAUCCAUUUAUUUUACAAUGAUGAUUAUUUUAAUUUUUUUUUUAAACCGUGACAAACAUUUCUACCAGAAAUCUUGCUUCAAUAUGUAAAUGAAGCACCUUUUCUGGAGGGAAAUUUUGUCUGGAUGGUACUUUAAGUAGGUAAUUUUUCGAUUUUCCUAGUGAUCUUCACAACACUAGGGAAUAACCGGGAAAAAACGUCGACAAAACAGAAAUAUUUACAAAAUGUAUUAUUUUCAAUUUUGUUUUUUGUUGUGAUUCAGUUGAUAUUAUUCGUAGAGAUUUGAAAUUUGGACAUAAAAUUAUAUUUGCCUUUCUAGACGUAAUACAGUUUUCAAACAUUUUAGUCGUGUUUAAAUAAGUUAUAGUCAUUUAUUUUUGCGAGUUUUUUUACGUAAUUUUUAUUCGGUAGGUAUUUUGUCGAUAUAAUUGUUAGACCAUACAGAAAUGCUUGAACAUUUAAUAGGAAAUUCAUUAUAAGUCGUUCUUUGUGAUUAAAAAUAAAAAAAUUGAGUGUGUUGUAGAAUUACUGAAAAUUGUAUAUAUUACGGCCUUUCAAAACAUGCAUAACUGAAUUCCGGUCAGAAUCGUUUUUCGUUAGCAAAGAUUAGUCAUUGCGUACAGAUAUAAAUUAAAUUCCCUUUUAUAUCCUACAUUUUUAACUUUUUAUUUAUCGCAUCUUUUUUUUUUUAUAAAAUAAUAAUAUUGACUAAUAUAUUGAAUUGAGGGCUGUGAGCUUCCGGCACAUACCUACGGGUGCCUUUAUUCAAACUGUAUAAUAUUCUGAUUAUUAGAAUUGGAUACACGAACAUUAUAAUAAUACCUAUUAUAUGGAUUUUGUCUGUUUAAUUACUCGUCUAGAAAGUUCCUAUAUAGAUAUAAUACCAACUGUUUACAUAGAGAAAUAGUUUUUAUUCUCAACCUGUGGUACACGGCAAAUUUUUUGACAAGCAAAAAAAAAGUUAUUAGUUAUAAUGUAGUUAAUUUAUUCAAAAAUAAUAACUGAACAUAUGUACGUAUAUUCCAAAUAAUCCAAAUGCCCGAGUUUUAGUUUAAAUAUCUGAGAAGUUUAUUUAUUUUCAAUGUUGCUUAAGUUUAUGGAGGCUGGCGGUUUGGAUUUUAUUUUAAUCGUUGAUCAUAGUUUAUAUACUCAGAUGUAAAUAAAUUAUAAUAAAAUAUUAGAAUUUAUAUACAUAUAUACGUAUAUGUGUUAAUAUAAUAAACAUAUUUUUUUUUAAUAUAUUAACUGUUUUUUUUGGGUAUAACUGCAUACACAUUUAGAAAUUAUCUAUUCUAUUUCAUAUACUAGUAUCAUAUCUAUAUACAGUGGCGUACGAAGGAUAUUUCAAUGGGGGGUGGCUUGAAAAUUGAUAAUUAGUACUGUCAAUUUGUAGGAAAGUAUAUUUUUUAGCUUAUUAUAAAACGUAGCUUAUUUUUAAAUAUAUAAUUUGAAUUAUGAAACUUUUAUUUUGCAUUUUUGACAUUUUUAUUUUUUAAGGUAAUUUUUUGGACUUUUUAAGUCAUUUUUUCCUUUUAGUUCAUUUUCCGAUAUUUUUAAUCAAAUUCUGUCAAUUAACACAUAUAUUUUUUGUUUUACAUAUACUGUAAAUACGUCAAAUUUAAAUUUUAUAAAAUAUUUUACACAAGCUGUAUACGGGUUAGGUAAAGAUAAGGAUUCGAUAAAAUAAGGGAAUAUUGCUUAGAUUAGUUAUUUGUGGGCUUGUGAUAAAUCGAUAUCAGUAAUAUCAAAAUAAAUAUAAAAAUUAAAUUAAAAACCAUUUUAUAUUGCAUUUUUUGAGACUUUAAAUGCAUAUUUUAUUGCAUUUUUUAUGUAUGUUUUGCACAUUUUUAAGGGUUUUUAUCACAUUAAAUUCACAACCCUAUUGAUAAUUAAUUAGUUGCUUUGUGACUAAUUUGAAAAAUAAAGUAGGUCAGAGGGUGCAUUAUGUUUUUUUAAUUGUUUUAAAAAACAUAAAACAUGGACAAUUUUUAUAAAAAAAACCUUUAAUAUUUAGGUAACUAUAGAAAUGUUGGUCAGUAAAACACAAUUUUUAAGCUGGUCGAGUAUUAAAAAAGCCAGAGAUCAACCAAAAUUAGAAUUUAAUGAAUUGUGGAUUGCAUUACUUACUGUUUAUUUUUUUCAAACUAAAAAUUGAAAACGAAUUCGAUCUUUUUUAUUUUAAUAAUAUCAUAUUCUGUCAUAACAUAGUAUAAUAGACAACGGUGGUAAAUUAAAUUGUUUACUUAUUCGAAAAUAGUGUAUUUUAUAAAAAAAAAGUCCUUGCUUACUAAUUAUUAUUACAAUUGAAACAUGAAAAAUACAAAAUUGUGUAAUUCCUGAGUAGAAAACUUAUUUCAAAAACCGAUUGAAUAUUUCACAUUAUUGUUGUUAUUCGAUUUAGAAUUGACAAGCGUAUAAUAUGAUUUUUAUUUUGGUAUUACGAUAAAUUAUUAAAUUAUUCAAUAUCAUCAUAAAACGAUAAACAAAUUGAAAACUCUUACAGUUAAUAAUUUCUUGGUGCCAUAGAAGUUCUGCAUUAAAAUAUUUUUGUUUAUAAUGUAAGUAAUUUGGGUUUUUAAUAAAAUGAAUGUUUCUUGAUUAUUUAUACUACUUUAAUAUUAAUGCACUUGACAUGUUUAAUGUUUACAUUUUAGUAAGUUUAAAGUAUUUCUUAGAAAUUAAUAUUCUUUAUUGGCUUUAUUACACUUACCAGCUUGAAAUAAUAAUAUUAUAUGAACUAACAGGUUAUAUUAUAGCUAAUCAAUUAUUGAAAUGUUUAUUUACAUGAAUUAUGAGUAUGCAAUGAAGUUCUUUAAUAAAUUCACUAAAUUCAAUAUUGUUCAAAUAUUAUUAUAAAUAAUUUGCUUAAAAAAUUUAACUUUGUAUUUCGUGUAAUGUAUUAUUUUUGUCAUGAAUUUGUUCCGGGUGUGUACAAUAGUUAUAUGUAUUUUUAGGUAUUUUUAUAUGGUUAUAUUUAAAACCCUGUACAAAAUAUUAUAUUCGAGUAGAAUCCGCUGAAUAGGUUAUUGAAGUUACUGUAGACGGUUGAACUUUUAUGUUUAAAAUUAUUGCUACACAUGCUUAUUUAAAUAGGUAUAUGUAUUUAUAGCUAAAAUGAAAUUACUGACCCGACUUUUCUUUGGAUAAGAAAAAAAACCAUUUGCGUUCCCCUUCAUUCGGUAGGUACUUAGUUACACUUACUGUAUGCUAACGCUUGACUCCCCGUGUCUAGAGUCUGCUGCUAGACUGCAGGUGUGUUUCGUAAAAACUCAAGUUACAGUUGGUAACAACUAGAAAAGGGGUUAUAGUGCCGCACUCCCUUUAUAUCGUUUUUUAGCGACUAAAAAGUCGACUUUUUUUCUUUUAGCCCUUACGAUUUUGUGUAAUGGGUGUACACUGCGAACGUUUCUUAUUGUCUAUGUAUAAUAUAUCGCGGGUGAACGCCACCGCCUUUUACAUACAUACGAGUUGAGUAGCAAAAAAUAUACAUACAAAAAAAAAAAAAAAACGGUCAUCGACCUCCCGCCAGUCAGCCAGCUUUUCAAAGGCGUUCUACAAGUGUUAAAAACUAACCACCCGUGACCGUUACACAAUAAUAAUAUCCUGAUGUGUGUAAUCAGCACCGCAGAUUACGCAACAGUUUGGAUAGCGUCUAAAAAUAGUUACCUAUAUGUUUAGUGUUCAUGUUCUUGUAGAAAAGAGGCGGAGAAGAAAUUUAUACCAAGUAGCUAGUAUACUAAAGUUAACAAACACCUAAACCAUCAUUAGUGCACGUGUCCGUCGUCGUCACCUUUGCAAUGUAAACUUAAAAAAAAAAAAUAUUCACACGAAGACAAUCUACACGAUCUAGUUUAGUUUAAUAAUGUAAUAUAUUGUUUCUUAUCUCGAAAAAUUUAAUUAAUUUUGUUUGAUAUUUGAUUAUAUUUAGUUGUUAAUAAUCGACUAACGCCUUAUAUUUGAAUUUCUUAAACCGCUGUCGUCCCACAUAUCACUCGAUACCUGCUCAUUAUAAAUAAUAUUAUAAUAUCGGACAGUAAUAAUUCUCUAAAUACGUUUGGUUUGAUCUUUAUUAUUAUUAUUAUUAUUUAUUCGAACACUCGUGAUGCAGGUUAAACCUGUUUAAUAUUCUUCUCUAUAUAAUAUUUUUGGUUUAUUUUUUUAUUGACUGACGACGAACGAACGCUGCAAAUGACGCGUAUUAAAAUAUAUUAUAUAGCACAAUAUGUAUUAUUCUCGUUCGUGUCUUCUAGUAUCAGUACGUGUUGAUUAUAAUAAUAUAUACUCGUAUAUUGAAUACAAUUUGUGAACUCUGCAUUUUAUGACUCGUUACGUUUUCGAUGAUAUUAUACAUAAUUAUAAUAUAGAGGUACUGGCUUUGUUAUUGUUUUUUGUUUCAUUCAACCCUACUAUUCGAUUCGAUUGAAUUGCACUUCGCCGCCGGAGAACGUUUCUCACAUUUGAGUACCUAUAUAAUAUUAUAUACAGUAUGCAUGUAGUCAACCGUUGAACUUUUAUUAUAAUUAAAUUUAAAAAAAAAAAUAAUAAUAAUAUCGAGUGCACUAAAUAUAACGAGAGUGUAUUGGUAAUUUGUCUAGACUACCAAGCUCAACGGUUGUACAAUUUUUUUACUCUUUUUUUGUAUAGUUUUACGGUUUGUGUUUAUUUAAUUAUAUACAAAAACUUGGGCGCGAUUAUAUUUUAUCGUCGCAACCAAAUGAUAUAAUAAUUGUUACGGUAUUGUUAUUAUUAUUAGGAAGGAUGUUUUUUUUCCUUUUUUAAACCGGUUUAUAUAUUAAUUUUGUUCUCGUCUUCCUGGCGUAUUUUUACGUUCGUCCCACUCUUCUUGUAUCUACAUACUAAGCUUCUUAGUUCUCGACGGCGUUAUAGUUAUAUUGGUCCAGAAUCAAGAUGUACCUACCUAAUAAUCUAUAUUAUAAAAUGAAACGUAGUAAAAAAAUUGAAACCGGAUAAUACAUUUAAUAAUUUUAUAUGUUAAUAAUUAUUUCUACGAUUAUUACAUUCAUUUAAAAUAGUCGUCUAGAACUCAGAAGUACUGUAUUUUCAGUUUUUGAAUUUAUUAUUGAAUUAGUUAUAAUACAAAUCCAGAUGUUAUAGUUCUGUGAAAAAAAAAUUUAAAAAUAAUAUCUACAUAAAGUAACGCAGAAAAUCACCAAAAAUCGACAACCACUGACAAGUAUAUACCAUGUAGGGUAAUAUAGUUUAUACUGAAUCUCCAAAAGCAAGAUAAAUUAUUACAAUCAAAAAACUAUUCUAAGUAAAGUGAAAUUAGUUAUGCUGUUUUCAUUUGUAGCAAAGGUAACCCAUGCAAUAAAUUAACAAAAAAUAAAAUCAAAGUAGCGACAUUUGUUAUCAAUUUUUAAAUUUGUACAGAAAAACUUUUAUGAAUGUAGAUAUUUUUUAAAGUACCGCCUGAGAAAAAUACGAAUUUAAACUAUGAAAUAUAAUAAUUAUUAUAUAUAUAUAUAUAUAUACGUAUAGAUAUAUUUAUAAGAAAAAAAAUUGGUUUCGAAAAUUAAUAACCUAUAUUGUUGAUUAUUUGAAUGCAAUAUUUAGAUACCGAAAAUAUUCGUAUAAUUUAUAAAAACUUGGAAAUCAUACUGAUUAUUUAUAUUUAAGUUAAAUAUUGACUUGUUAUCCCUUGUAGUCUCAUUCUGAGUGGUUUACACUCAGCAAAGUGCGAAGUUUUUCUGGCCAGUUUUUUUAUUAUUAUUUCUAUAACCUAUUAAUUACGGCAUUGGCAUUAAUUUUGGGUCUGGAUACUUGACAACUUAACUUAUUGAUCUAUUUAUGUAGGUUACUUAAUUUGUAAUAAACCUACCGUAACAAUUUUUGAUUGCAUAAUAUUAUUUUAUAAUCUACUUAACUCAAUUGAAUAUAAAAUUAAUUUUUUUCUCCCAAAUAAUUGAAUUUAUUAAGUAUUAACUAAAUAUUAAGUAUUAUUUAUUAAGUAUUAUUAUUAUAUAAUAUAUUAUAAUAUGGUUUCUGUUAUUUUUAGUGUAGGUAUCAAACGUCAUACGCAUAUUUAAUAAUAUUCAUAUUAUAAUUUGUACACUUGUAAUAUUAUUUUGUACAAAGAUAAAUUAUUGAAUGUUCAGCGUUUGAGAUAUAAUAUUUUGUUUUUAUAUUAAAAUCGGUUGAAAUUACCGUAAGUAUAAUAUGACGAAUAUGGACUUGGGCGAUAUUUUUACAUUAAUGCUUUCCACGCUGUCCUGCUGUUCAUAUAAAUAAUAUAAAUUUAACCGUGUUCACGUGUAUAGUAUUGGCGUUUUAUAGUACCAAGUAUGGUUAGGUUAGUAUAUGAAUAGUAUUUCAUAAAUGAUUAUAUAUAUAUAUAUAUAUUUAUAAAAAUAAAUACAUAAUAUAGUAACUUUAGUAAUACAAUACUCCCUUAGUUUUACAAAACUAUUUCAAUAUUUCAAUACAUCGCAGAUAGUACAGUAUAAUGUCUUAUACUUAUAUAUAUACUUAAUAUAUCAGAGCGACAUAACCGGUCUAUAUUACGAUGAUGUGUAGAAUAAUGAAAGUUUGGUAUAUAUAGUUAACGAUUAACAGAAUACUGAUUCCAAUAUUAAACUUCUAUAAAUAUCAUCAUAUAAUAUUAUAUUACAUUGUAUAAACUUUUCAUAAAAUAUUAAAACAAAGACAAACUUUUUAGUUUAUAUCUUCAAAAAUUAAUAAUAUCACUCCCACGAGUAGAUACAUAUAAAAUUGUGUUUUAUUGAUUGUGUUGAAUUUUCCCAGAAAAAAGAUACUAUUGUACCGUAUACUGUGCCUUUUAUAUAUUUACAUUUUCUUGCUACUUUUAGAUAAUUUUAGCGACUCUCUGGACCAGCCAAAUGUGUUCAAACUCGGGAAUCUGUGUGGUUUUAUAGGUAUAUUGAAGUGUACUAGUUAGAUUGAAUUUCACGAUGCUGUUGGGAGGGAAGAGUUGUGUUUUAGCUAUGAACAACCCGCCCCUAUAACUCCUAAAUGAAGCCAGAGGGAUGGAAUUUUGUAUACAUUUUAUAAUGCUGUUAUUAUUAAAGAUAAUGUACCUUUUGAGAGUUUUAACUUCCAUACUUCGCUUCUACUAUUUUUAUGAUCCAAUUUUACCAUGAUUUUGAAAGUAAUAUACUACUAUGGGUAAUAUAUGACUGUAUAGCGUUAUAUUAUUAUGGGAUUUGGUUAUUUAUUAUUUUACAAAGAAGAUAUUUAUAAUACAAAAUGGCUGGGUGAAAAUUUAACUAGUGACAGAGCUCUGUUGAUUACUCGUUCUUAUUGUAUGUUUUUACUUCUCAUUCUUAAAAUCGUAACGCACUAUACCUAUAUAUAGACAAUUCACUCUUUAUUUUUAAAUAGAUUUAUAUUUUAAUAAUGGGAACGAAUGAAAAAAAAAACAAGUACCUGUUUUAAAACGAGUCUGUAUAUUAUAUUAUGUUUAAUGUGUUUACACUCCUGGCUCUAUAAUAUAGAUUAUGUUAGUUUUUAAACAUAAAAAUGUACAGUUAACUGCUGCGGCUAAACUACACGAUGAAAAUAUUGCGUGUAAAUUAUCUAUAAGUAAAUUAGAAAAAACAAAUUAAAAUUAAUAUUUAUAAUGUCGCACGUAAAUAAUAUUAUACACGGUUGGUCAUAAUAACCCUGCAGACGGUGAUGAUUGAAAUAGAAUUGGUUGUAAAGUCGUGGCAAGUCAAAAAAAAUUAUGUUUUGUAAAUUAUCGUAAACGUGGUUUUCUUGUAUUUAUUAGCUAUACCUAUAAUACACUGCAGUAUUGUAAUAAGUCGUCGGUAACAUUUCAACUAGAAUAAUUAACCAAUAGAAGUACCUACUUGCUAUAAUAUAGUAUGUUAUAUACAAUAUACAUACCUACUACAUAUAUUGUAUAUACUACAUAUACUACUAUAUUGUCGAAUAAUCUUACCAUUUUUGUCGCACGCGCAUGAGGAUAAUAAUAAUAUAUAGGGAGUGGUUAAACACGUUGUAUCGAACUCGUUUUCAGCAUUUCUUAUGUGCGUUCUACCGGCCCCAAAUACUUACAGUACUUUUUCAUUUUAAUUUUUUUAUUAUUAUAUUUUCACCCUUGCUCGAUUUUUUUUUUUUUGAUACUUACAUUUCCGUAUUUAUAUAUAUAUAUAUACGUUUAUAAAUAAUUGACCCGAAUAUAAUAAUAAUGAUGAUGAUAAUAUUAUUAUAUAGGGCACCGGAGUAAAACCGAUAUACUCGAGAGUGAAUAAAAACUGUACUUGCAUGUAUACCUAUAGGCAGAGGUAUUACAGAUGAUAAUAUAGGUAGGCGCCCGGAGGCAUCGUCACGCCGUCGCCGUGGAUGAGAUUCCCGUUUGCAUUCUGCACCAUUAAUUACGUCGUUUAAAUUCCUGGCAAACUGUUUUUUUUUUCAUCGAAAUAACAUAUUCUUCGUUUAUGUGAAUGCGCGCGCGCGUGUGUGUAUAUAGUAAUAAUUGCCUUGAGCGAUUGUUCAGAAAGAAACCUGACGUGAAGCACUGUGUGUAUGUAUAAUAUACGUGCCAUCAAUACGAAUAUAAUAUGUAUUUUAUUUGCUGUGAAAUUAGCGUUCCUAUAAUAUUAUGAUGAUUGAAAACAAUUACAAAAUGGUUAAAUUAAUUUUUUGAUGUGCAUGUGUGUAAUUAUUGUCGCGCGUAUUGGCAGUGGUGUAGCUAGAAUUUCUAAAUAGGGUGAUGGUUAGGUACAAAACAAACCUAAAAUUACAUGUUUGUCUACAUGGGUGUAGCUAGGUUUUCAAUCAGAAGGGAAUAGAGGGUUAACAUUUUUUCUGAAAAUAGGAGAAAAAUUGAUUUUACGUGCAUGAAUCAUAUGUCCAUAUUACUUCUUUAAAAUUCGUGUAUAACCACUCGUAAUAUAGUUUAUUGUAUAACAAUUCCAUGCUUAAAUUUAAAUAUAAUGAAGUAAAAUUGUAUUAUUUGUGUAUAUAACAUUAUGAUAUUUAUAUUAAUAAAGGCAAUGCUAUACAGAGUACGAGUAAGUAGGUACAUUAGGAAAUCAAAUGCAAUCUUAGUCACAGAGUGGGGGAUCUUGAAGCAAUGGCUCUCGGUGAUUUUAAGGGAAAGUAUUGGGUAAAUAAAUCACAGGGUGGUGAGUUUCCCACUCUGUCCCACCUUCGUUACACCUAUAUUUUUAACGUGUUAUUUUCCUUAAUUGCAUUUAUAAAUUUACUUGGGAUUCAAUGGAAAACGAAAAUAAAUCACAUAUACCAAGAUGUAACAUAAAUAUAUUAACAAACAUGGUCAAUAGGAAGGACAUCGACCUCGUGUUCCCCUGGCUACGUCACUGUGUAUCAAUGUAUGUUGUUUAUUAACUUCCGGAAGUAUUUUCAUACCGACUGUGAUUUGAAGUACACAAUUUGUAGUUUUUGUUUGUUUCGUGUUUAAGUGUUCAAUUAUAUUUACCUAUUUUACCUAUUUGUCUGCGCGUGUUACGUGUGUUAUGUUCCAGCAGUUGCGUAUAUUUUCACGAUUUUUCGUUGUCACACCAAUGUACUUACAUGUAUAUAGUAGUUUGAAAUGCAAACAUAAACAAAUCCCACGAUUGUCAAUUUUAUAGACAAAGUAUAAAUAUUAUUUUAUUAUUAUUUAUUAGUCACAUUAUACUCAUAGUAUUGAAAACGAACUCCGGAUUAUUAUUAGGUAAAUAUUAUAGCGGAACAAAUAAAAUAACUGUGAUAGUGUGAGAUUACGAUAGAAACAUAUCUAAACCUUUAUAUUUAAUAUUUUGCUUUGACUUAUAAGAGUCGUCAAAUACAAAGAUAAACACAGAGAAUAAAUGAGGAUGAUGAUUAUUAUUCACGAUUAAAAUAAUAGUUUUAUUAUAUAGUUUGAAUUCUGUGAAAUCGUAAAUAAUAUUGGUAAAUAGGUAUCUAACACAAAUAUAACAUUUCCAUCGUGUUUGCGAUUGCAAUGGGAAAUAAUUUACUAAAUGUAUUCGUUGACGAAAACAAAUUACAAUGAUAUAAAAUAUAAAUUUAGUUUAAUGAAAAGGCGCAUAUUAUAGAGAUAAAGCUUCUACAUUAUACGCGUAUUAUGUGGCCGAGAAAUAUUUAGAAAUCGCACAAUUAACGAAAUACGCAUAAUAUUUCCGAGGAGUUUUGAAUAAUUUAUUCGACCGGACUACGGCUGUGUUUUAAUCCGGUUAUUCGGAGUACGAACCGCGCGGGGGUAGGUAUAUAGAUGUAUGCGUAUUAGGUGACUGGAAAAGGAUAACGAAAUUUGAAUUUUAACACCUAUAUGUAUGUAUGUAUGUAUGUAUGUAUGUAUGUAUGUAUGUAUGUAUGUAUGUAUAUAUAUAUAUAUAUAUAUAUAUAUAUUCACGUAUUAUAAAAUACUUGCUGUUAUAUACCGUAAUAAUCAUCGUAAUACAAUAUCCCGUGGCUCGCGAAUUGGCCUCCGUCGACGGCGGCGUGACGGUCUUACAGCUUUUGCAGUUUUCCGCGGCUAUGUUAUAAUAAUGUGAACGUGACCCUUAUAUUUUAUCGGUACCUCAUGCUAUUUGAUAUAAUAAUAUACGAACACGGUAUAUUAUGGUAAUGCUGUACGGUGUAUCGAUUAAAAUAUAAUAACGCGUUGUCAACAAAUCGUAGCUCCGAUGUCUUUCGGGUUUUUGGAUUUACCGUAUAGGGCCCCGAAACUGUCAUAAACCUCGACCCGAGGUCCUGCAAAUACUUUCAGCUGUAUUAUAACAACCACGAUUAUUUGUUCGCUGAAUAUAAUAAAUGUUUUGUACCAAACAUAGAUGAUAAUAUUAUUGCUUAUAAUGCCGCGUGCGUUAAUAACGACAUACUUGUGGAUUUAUUAUUUUAUUUGAUCGUUUCUUCUCGCAAUAAUGUAAUAAACGUGUCCUCGAUGUUUUAUACUUGAAAACUUUUUCAAAACCUUGGCAUGUAUAUACGCCAAUUUUUUUCUUCCAACCUACUAUGUCUUCAAUGAAAGGUUAGGUAUAUAAUAGCUUUAUUGCGGUUUUAUUAUCCAUCUAAUCGUCGUCCAAUCAAUAUCGUCACAUUAACAUAAAAUGUGUUUAGGUUUUGAAUAAUAAUUUCGAGAAGCACGCUGUCAAUUGCCGCUUCUUGUGUACAAGUAUUAUGUUUAUCAGCCAUUCGAUUUGUCAUUGCCGUCUCAUUUUCGAAAGUCUAAAUACUUGUAUGUAUUUGAAUAAAACUUAAAAGCUCCUUUAAAAAUCUGUCAAAUUCAAUUUUGUCGCAUCAUUAAAUCAACAUAAUAAUAUAAUUACGGGUUUUUAUGUUAUGUGCGGGGAAAUAAAUUGAAUGAUGUUUUCAUUUGUUUUAAAUGAAAACGCGAUUUAUUCAUUCGUCAUAAUUAUUACUCAUCAACAAAUAUUUUAAACAUACGAAAAAAUAUUGUCCUAAAUAGUUUAGUUAUUUGUAUUAUUAUUAUGUGCAUACGUAUUUUGAUUUUUAACAUUUUAUAAUUUUUAAAUAAAAUUGUGUUACCUAUUAUGUACCUAAUAGAUGGAAUAUAGAUGUAAGUGCACAGCACUUACUUACCUGUACCGAAUCUUGGAAAUGUUAUUCUCGCGUCCACGCCGAAAAUCACAUACCUAUACCUACUUAUACGUUUUAUUUCGCGUCCUUGUGUAUUAUUGUUGUUACCAUUUGUCGUUAUUGUAAGGCAAUCAGCGUAUUUCGUUUUAACAUUCUAUAUUAUAACAUUUAUAACUGUUCAUGACCGAUGGAUUGCAUUGUUUGACGCACCUCUACCUAUAUUACAGUCGUGCAGUCAGUGCAGCGUCGUCGUACUCUCGCUGCUGCAGUUGUUGAUUUAUGAAAACGCUCGUCACUGUUUUGAAUAAGACAUUUUUUAAAACUUUUCACGAGAAAGACAUCAUGUGCAGCAGUGCCUGCAAGUAUCCGCCGCCGCGUAUUAGCUUCAAAAUAACCUGAUCUGUCGGUCUGUGCAGUACAAUGCGUUAUGGCCCGGGGUUUUUUUUCCCCAGUUGGAAUGCGGACGAUUCUCACAUCGUAAUAAUAUAGUUUGUUGUCACGUGGGCCAAUAGUAACUUAUAUAGUAAAUAAUAAUAUCAAUGAUGCUUAACGAUAAAUCAUUGACAGAGAGGUGUUACCUCAUCGUCAUCAAUAUAAUAGUUAAUAUGUACAAUGACGUAGGUUUAUACAGAAUCAUUACUUUAUUAUACAAACAGGUGAUUAUCAACAACGACGAUUUCGUGCAAAUGCAAUUUUGGUUUAUUUAAAUUAUCAUGGCUCAUUCACAAUAUUUUUAAAACGUCACCCUUAUUAUUGCGCAUGUGUCUACAUUGUAAAUUGUCGAUUUUUUUACAGUAACCAUACAUGUUUUUUGAACUCAGAUUAAUAUAGAGACAUUUUUAUAAACUAUUUUUCCAGAUUUAAAAUAAAAUAAUAAAUUAUACGCUGUACGUUUUAAUAUGAUGUAUAUUGUUAUUCAAAUAUACGUAAUUAUGUAAAAUUCAGAAUUGUCUAAGCUUAUUUCAAAUUAGAUUUAAACAACAUUUUAUACGACAAGAAUCGAUUUUAUAUUCGCUCGUUAAUACUACAAUAUACUCGUAAAUCAUUCGUCGUAGAUAAUACUUUUGAAUUAUACGUUUUAAGGCACUGUGCAAUUCAAUAUUUUUAAUUAAUCAUACAGCUACUAUCUAUCGUGUCUAUUUUACUUAAUCCGUAAUUUAUCCGUAAUAAUAUAUAAUAAUAUAUGAAUUUAUAUUGAUAAUUCGGACGCAGCUGCAUUUAUCGCGUACAUCGAGUUUCUCAGUGACGGUUUUUUUCUUAUUUCCAAUUAUCGUCUUGCUACUAUAUAGUCUGGCGUUUCCAGAUGGGUUGACACGACGGUAGACAGACGCCAAAACAAAUUAUCGGAGCACUCACUUUAAUAAGAUGGCGUAUAUAGUUGGUCUACGACACAACAACCCUGCAGUAGUUGUAUGGUACCCCCUAUGGUGAUGCGAAUUGUUUGGAUAUAGUAUUCGCAAAAAUGAUUUCUAAUAAAUCCAAUUUACUAUAGAAAAGUCUAAUAUAAGUAUUCCAUGAAAAUGUCUUGUCUUUACAAUUUUAUUUUUAACUGAAUUGCAAAAAAAAAAAAAAAAAUCAAAAAUAAUAAAAUUAUUUCAUUAUGGUCAUUAUUGUUACCUUUUUUUUCGAAUUAUUAAGAAAACUACAAGAAAAAUCAAAUAAUUUACUUUUAAUUUUAAUUCGUUAUUUUCCACCCUUGAUUUAAUGGUUCGUUGAAUGUAGGUAUAUUUAAUUUAUAUUUAUUACUUGAUUGGUUAUCCUGACGUAUGGAAACUGCCAGCGCGUGUCUAUUCGUUCGUUUAUUAUAACAUAAUGUCGUCGUCUUAUUUUUUUUUAAUUACACGCAUAACAAAUUAUUAUUCGUCUUAUACAUCAGCUGCACUUCCGAUUUCUUUAGUUCUUAUUAGUCGAACCUAAAUUCCGGUUUUACCAUAUUUUGUCACGGUUCGUUUGCCCACUUAAUGAGACACCUCGCGGGCAGUUGUACCCAUUGUCUUCGGUGCAUUGUGUUCUCUAAAAUAGGGUGACGGCUACAUCGGUUAGAAAUAGGUUUCUUUCCAAAACGCAGUAAUAAUGGGGAGACCGCCGAAUUUCGUAAGCUGUGAGGGUACAGAAAGAAACGAUAAUACAAUCCGUUUAAAAUUUGAAUAGUAUUAUUUAUAGAUUGUGAUUUAAUUUUAUUUCUACUUAUAUCUGUCUUUCAAACUAAUUUUGUCUUUAUUAGUAUGUACUUUAAGUAAAUCAUUUAAAAAAUGGGAAAAUUAGAAUUCAGAGCAGGUGUUGUGAUAUUGUAAAUUUGGACGAAAUAUUUAAAGUUUUUAACAGACCAUUCGAACCAUUCAAUUAAAUACCUGCGUACCUAUAAAUUAGUUGAUGUAUAAUAUUUCAAUAUACUUAUAGUUUAUCAUAAUCAUCAUAAAACUGACCCAUAAAUUUGUUUUACCGUUAAUAUGGACAUAUAUUUUAAAUAAUAAAACUAAUCGAGAAUUUCUAUUUAUUUUAUUUUUAUCCCUGUCAUCAUUUCUACAUAUCUAAUCUUUUCAUGCGAUGUUUACUUUCGCUCAGGUUCGGAAAUUAAUCGCGAAACCCCAUAUUUUUUUUUAUGGCCAAGUAAAUUUCAAACCUUGAUAAAUGUCAUUUCCAUAUUAUAAUAUAUUUUUCUUAAAGCGGCAAUUUUUUAUUACGCCUCACUCUGCACACGCGUUUACGACUCUGGGAAUAAUGCAAUUUCGAUUUUAUACCACGCGUUCAAAACUUUUUCUUACUAUCUCGAAAAGCAAUCACGGUGAGUUAAAUCAUAUAAUAGUACCGCUGUACACGAUUUUUGUGAUUUAUGUACUUAUUAUAAUUAUUGCAAUAUUUUAAAUUAAUAUAAUAAUAGCUGCUACUGUACAAAUAGCAAUGAUAUUUUAUAAAAUCAAGUAUUGUGGAGAAUUUACAGGCGUAUGCGACUUAAAGACAUUUUCGUCGUAUAUAAAUGUAUUAUUUAUUAUACCAUGAUAUAAAAUGUUCGUCGAAAUAUUUUUAUUAUUCAACUUUAUAGUUUAUAACUCUUAUAUAUUUAGAUGAUAAAUUAUUAAAGUUUAAAUAUCUUAAUAAGUAUAAAGUAAAAAUAUUAUAUAAGCUAUAAACCUUAGUCCUUAAUCUAACUAUGUUGAAUUACACAAACUCGUUGUUCCUAGAAUAUUUGUAUGAUCUUUAAUUUUAUGAUUAAGGUUCAAUAUUAAAUAAAAGUUUACAAGUUCGAUAUACAUACUUAAUAUAAGAAUUAAAUCUUAUGUAUUAAAAAUAAAUUUAAAAAAGAAAUAAUAAUAAAUAAAUUCGUUAAUAUUUUAAUAUUUAUGUAUGAUAAAAAUUAUUUCCUAUUAAGAAAUGACCUCUUGUCGAUUUUUAUUUUCAUAUUUUUUCUACAUAAAUUUCCAAUAAAAUUAUAUUUUUAAUUAAUCAAAGUAAUUGUAUUAAUUAUAUUUUAUCGGAAGUAAAUAAUUGUUAGGCAUAGUUAAAUAAUUAAAAUCCACGAAUAACGAUAUAAUGUAUCCAAGUUAGAUUUUGCGGUGUAUUAAACUAAAUAAUACUGUGGUAAGACAGGUUCUUGAUAAAAAAAAAAAAAGUCGGUGAACUAGAAAGUAACUCAUUAAAACUACUGCUUUCGUAACUAUAUAACAUAUGAGGAUCUAAUGGUUUUUUUUUUCAAACAAUGGACCAUAAUGGAAUUUUCAUUAUAAGACCCUUAAUUUAUAGUCUUGCACCAAAUAGGUUAACGAGAGGGAUAACGGAAACCUAUAUAGUGAAAAUAAUAUUUUGCAGUUAUUUUUCAUCAACAAUAUAAACCCGUUAUUUUUUAGAACUGCACUUUACACAUUUUGCACUACUGCUAAUCGGAUAUAAAUUUUAAUUUUAUGCUAAUAUAGUAAUAAUAACAUUUUAAUCAGAAUAUUAUAUUUAUUAUUAAUAUUUAUUUGCGAUUAUUUAAAAACAUUUUGAUUUUGAUUUUUCUUCAAUAUAACUGUUUAAUGAUAACUUCAAAAUUUGAUCCAUGUAUCAUAAAUAUGUCAUAUAUUUAAUUUUCAAACAGCAACCGACAUUUAAAUAAAUAACGAUUUGAAAAAAAUGUUUUUAUACAAAUUUUUAUAAGUAGUAUAUCAUGUUUUUCAAUAUUGAAUAUACUGUUUAUGAGUUAUUAAAAUUUAAGAUCGGUCGGAAGUCAUAAUCUUAAUUACUCAUUUUAAAUUUUGAGUAAUAAAACCUAUGAAAGAUAUAUCCGAUAUUAAUAAAGUGUAUACAAAUCAAUAGUUGAUGUAUGUAGGUAUACAGAAAAGAUGUUGAAAAUGUUGAAAAUAUUGUAAACCAAAUCAUCAAAUAAUUUUAUAAUGUUUGAGAAAAUUAAAAUUAAAUUUAUUCAUGAUCUUCCCAGAUGAUCGUUAGUUUACCUUAUAUUUUAAUUUAAAAUGUUUAUGAUAAAGAAAAUACUCACUUGUAUUGGUUUUCGUAAUAUAAUUAUAAUAAUCAUGAUAAUUUAACGAAGUAUAAAUUUAUAUAGAUUAUAUAAAAAAAAUUAUGCAUAGAUAAUUAUAGACUAAUUAGUCAAUUAUUGUACUUGUGAAUAGUAAUGAUCGAAAAUGAUUAUAACAGUUCAAGUGAGUUUCAAUGAACAUCAUUAUACUGGUCCAGGUUCUUAGGAAUUUAACCCUUAAUCAUUCUUUCUCGUGGCAUCUUGUCAAAGUCUCUCAAGGGUAUAACAUAACGUUAAAAAUAUGUACCUAUUAUAAAAUUACUUAAUCCCUUGAUUUUGAAACUAGUGUCAAUAGUUUAAUUUGAAUAUAAUAUAUAGUAUAUACUUAAUUAUAUUGUUCUCUCUAUUAUUAGGUAGAUACUCGACUCGUUUGAGAUAAACAAGAUUAAAAAAAAAAAAAAAACAUUUUUAUAUUAAGUUGAACCAAAUUAAAAGGGUUAUGAUUAUUAUACGAGAGUAUUCAUCCUUUAAAAAUAUUAUAAUAAUAUAUUUUGCGUUUCUGUUAAAUAUGAACAUUAAAUCAUAUUUAUUAAUUUUUAUUAUAAUUAUUAAUUUCAUUAGAACCAAGCGCUUAAAAAUUGUCUGAAUUCAACAACUGCAGUUUUAAUACCUUAUUUACUAGUAUUUUCGGUGUAAAUACAAUAUAAAAUAUCAUAUAACGUCAUUUCUAAUUAGUUUAUUUAAAAAAAAAAAAAAUUUUAAAAAUGAAUACACAAUAGAUAAUAAUAUUAGGUAUUUAUUGCCAAUUAAAAUAUUUACAAAUUUUUAUCAAAAUUUAAUGUAAAUAUAAUUAUCAUAUUUUUUUCUAUACAUUGGAACUAAAAAAUAACAAAUAUUUGAAUCCAGAAUGAUAGUUAUUAUAUUUUUUCAAAAAUAUCCACAAAAGUGGACCAAAUAAUAAAAUAUAUAUUAUUCAUGCUUAGUGCUCAAUAAUAUACACGACUAAAAUCAAUGCAAUAUUAAUCGACAUAAACUUUGAUUUAUUUUUUGUUGUUUAUUAUUAAUUAGUAUACUUAUUUAUUAAUUUAUUGCGUAACAUGUAUUAGUUUCUUUAAUAUAAGAAUGCAGACACAAAUACGGGUUCCUCAUAUUUUACCAUGAAAUGAAUAAAAUGGGGGCCCACUACUUUGUUUUUAGUCCUAAAUAGAAUUUACGAUGAACCUUAUUGUAUCUUAAUUUAUAGAGCAUAUUUGUUGUAACCAUAUUGUUUUAUUCACAUGCAUGGAAGAUGCACAAGCAACUAGUAGACAAUUUAAGUGAUUUUUAUAAAUUUUAUCGUAAAACUAGAACAGUUUAAAACAAAUCCCUAUUAAAGAAUUUUGAUGGUCUUGGUUAAUCACAAUAACAACUUAUGGUGUUUAAAAUUGUUAAGUAUUUAUCAAGUACUUAUAUCACUCAAUUAUUUAUAUUUUUUUAAAACCAUUUAGAAUCGUAAAAAAAACACACACAAACUUCAAAUGGUUAUAAAUAAUUCGAAAAAUAACACAAUAUUUCGAAAAUUAUAUUAUGUCUAGAAAAUGUUAAUAUUAGUAUUUGUUGAUAAUUUCCGGUCUCUAUGGUUAUGUUUCACUAACUUUUUUUUUUAUCCAUAAAAAAUAGUAACCGUUAAUGUGUAAAUAUUUCCAUUUUUCAAAUUUUUCCAAUUUUCCCCUAUUAUUUAUAAUUAUAUUAGAAAAAUACAAAAUCAUAAAAUAAAUCUCUUUGUGCCACUAACUAGACAAAAUUUAAUAGUAGAUAGCACUCUUGAAGUUGAUGAUUGAAGCAAGAUCUCUGGUUAAAAACUUAGUUACAGGCAGAAAAAAAAAGUGCACAUCAUAGAAAAAUGAAGAAAAUUUCUGGUAUCCCGGUGGGUUGACACGCACCUAAAAAUACCGAUAGUUGGAAACUCAUAAUAAUAAUGUAUAAUAAUAAUAAUACUCCCAAAUGAAGAAUCGAUAUCAACUCACGCAGGUUACGCUUGAUUUAGUUACGUACACUUCCUGUUGUAAAUCGUUGGAAUGAUCGGAGGAUUUUAAAAAUAUAUGAUGCGUCGUAUAUGACCUCGGAAAAAUUUAAAAUAGGAAUUAAGGGACAGACGGAACUAUGCUACCACGAGAGGGAAAUACGUUGUACCCGAUUCUAAAUAAAAGGUUUCUGUAUAACGUGCACGAUUUAAAUAAUUUUAUUUGCAGUACAGUAAUUGUAUUGUUGAAUACUAUACAUUGUAUAGUCGUAUGUCGUUUUGCUCAUCUCAAUUCAAAAAUGCAAAAAGGUGAUCUAUAUAUUAUUAUUUUGAUUAUGAGUAUUGAAUUUAAAUUUAAAUGCUUAUGACCCUUUUAAGAUUUUUUUUUACUGUAAAAAGUAAUCCGUUUAGAAUAACACCUGUAUUUAAUUUCUCUGCACGGAAGGAUCUCUCUUUCUAUAUAUAAAUAAUAAAAAAAAAAACACAAACGAGAGACAUAAAUACAUAAAUCACAGUAAAAGUUAUGAACAAUUUUAUUGAAGAAAUCGUCAUUCAAUUUUAAAUUUAAAAUAAUAUAUUCAAAAUUUGAACAAAAAUUAAAUAUAGGUAGCUUUAAUUAAAAUAUUAUAGUUAUAAUAAUUAUUAAAAUAUUAUUCCAAAUCUAAACGAAUAAUUUGUUAAAUUCUUUUAUUUUCUAACUUAACACAUUUUAAAUUAUUAAAUGUCAAAUAAGUUAUCCACCUACUAAAUAUUAAGGGGCUGCCAUUAGUUUUUAUAAAAACACUACAUUGCCGAACGAAGUUAAUGUUUAUUCCUGAAUUUUAAUAAUAAUAAAAAAAAUAAAAUAUAUUUUGAUAAUAUGCAAAAGCUAUUGAAAUUAAUAAAUAUUUUGAAUGAUGAAAAUGAUAAAUUGCUUUUUGCGAAUGAUUUUUUUCAUUACAAAUUACUUACCAUUACUUUUCACAAACAAUAUCAUAGUUAAAGUACCAAAUUUAAUUGAAUAAUUUUUAAUCCUAAUGCUAAUGACAAUAGUUGUAACUUAGUUAAGUAUUAGAAAAAAAAUAUUAAAAAAUAGUAAACACUAAAUACAAUGUACGUGAAAUAACUAUCAUUGGAAAAAAAAAGUUUAUUGUUGAUAAAUUUUAAAGUUUAAUGGCCUAUUUCUCUUUGUAAGCCAUUAUAUAACUCUAAUUAUUUCUAGUGCGCUUUCAACCAAAAAAUAAUUUUUCGUUUUGGUUUUAAUUAUAAAUAUCAGUGUAUUAACUAUAAUAUAAUAUGUUUCGAACUCAAGUAUAUAGAAAUGCAUAAUAUAUAAACUGAAAGGCUUUAUGUAAUAUAUACCUAAUGUAUGUGUUUUUUUUUUUUUACAGGUGUGUACAAAUAUUAUGAACUUUACUAAGAACUUCAAAAAA